AGUGAACGUUGGCGGCGUGGAUUAGGCAUGCAAGUUGAGCGAGAACCGUAGCAAUACGGGGACAGCGGCGAAAGGGACAGUAAUGUGUAGGUACCUACCUCCGGGUUCGGGAUAGCUGCGGGAAACUGCAGGUAAUACCGAAUAACGUCUCCGGACCAAAGGUGUGAUUCCACCUGGAGAGGGGCCUGCAUCCGAUUAGCUUGUUGGCGGGGUAACGGCCCACCAAGGCGACGAUGGGUAGCGGGUGUGAGAGCACGACCCGCGUCAUUGGGACUGAGACACUGCCCAGACACCUACGGGUGGCUGCAGUCGUGAAUCUUCGGCAAUGGGCGCAAGCCUGACCGAGCGACGCCGCGUGCGGGAUGAAGGCCUUCGGGUUGUAAACCGCUGUCGUAGAGGAGGAAAUGCAGGGGGGUUCUCCCCUCUGUUUGACCUAUUCUAGGAGGAAGAACGGGCUAAGUUCGUGCCAGCAGCCGCCGUAA
rnacentral:rRNA from 1 species